rnacentral:rRNA from 1 species
UACGGAGGGUGCAAACGUUGCUCGGAAUCAUUGGGCGUAAAGCGCACGUAGGCGGCCUGUUAAGUCGGGUGUGAAAGCCCUGGGCUCAACCCAGGAAGUGCACUCGAAACUGGCAGGCUUGAAUAUGGAAGAGGGUCGCGGAAUUCCCGGUGUAGAGGUGAAAUUCGUAGAUAUCAGGAGGAACACCGGUGGCGAAGGCGGCAUCCUGGACCGGCAUUGACGCUGAGGCGCGAAAGCUAGGGGAGCAAACGGGG